AAUCAUUACCUACUUCUUCUUCUUCUUUCUCUAUUUAGACUUUCAAUUCUUCAUUCUUCUCUCUUCAAUCCCUAAAGCUAUGCCUUCCACCGCCAUUUUCUCACCUUCCUGUUCAUCCUCUUCCCCUUUCAAUCCCUUCGCAUUCUCAGCCUCCUCCUUUUCUUCUUCCAAGGCCUUCUUAGCUGUCGAUCACAACCCAUUUGCCUCCUAUUUGAAAAGCAAGUCUCUGCUGUCGAGGAAGAAUUUCAGAACAGUAGUUGUCCCCACCAUGGCUGUUUCAAUCGAGAAGGAAACCCCCAUCGCCGAACGCCCUGAUACGUUCCUUACUGAAUACGACGAGGCCACUGGAGGGAUCUCUUCGGCCUCCUCCUCUGUUAGGGCUCGCUUCGAGAAGAUGAUUAGGGAUGCUCAGGACAGUGUUUGCGACGCAAUUGAGAAAGCGGAUGGAGGUGGUAAGUUUAAGGAAGAUGUUUGGUCCAGACCUGGUGGUGGCGGCGGCAUCAGUAGGGUUCUUCAAGAUGGUGCUGUGUGGGAGAAGGCUGGCGUUAAUGUCUCUGUUGUGUACGGAGUUAUGCCCCCUGAUGCUUACAGAGCUGCCAAAGCUGCCGCUGUUGAUCAGAAGCCUGGUCCCGUUCCAUUCUUUGCCGCCGGCAUUAGCUCAGUUUUACAUCCUAAGAAUCCCUUUGCACCUACUCUGCAUUUCAACUACCGAUAUUUCGAGACUGAUGCUCCCAAGGAUGCUCCUGGUGCACCUAGGCAAUGGUGGUUUGGUGGUGGGACUGAUUUAACUCCAUCUUACAUCUUUGAGGAAGAUGUCAAGCAUUUCCAUUCGGUACAAAAAAGUGCCUGUGACAAAUUUGAUCCAUCCUUCUAUCCUCGAUUCAAAAAAUGGUGUGAUGACUACUUCUACAUCAAGCACCGGGGCGAAAGACGAGGGCUUGGAGGAAUAUUCUUCGAUGAUCUAAAUGACUAUGAUCAGGAGAUGCUUCUAUCAUUUGCCACCGAGUGCGCCAGUUCUGUGGUUCCUGCCUACAUACCCAUCAUAGAGAGAAGAAAGGAUACCCCGUUUACUGAACAGCACAAAGCAUGGCAACAGCUUCGCAGGGGCCGCUACGUUGAAUUCAACUUGGUUUACGAUCGUGGUACUACAUUUGGACUGAAAACAGGAGGUCGGAUAGAAAGUAUUUUGGUAUCCCUCCCUCUAACAGCAAGAUGGGAAUAUGACCAUAAACCAGAAGAGGGAAGUGAAGAAUGGAAACUACUGGAUGCAUGCAUCAACCCAAAAGAAUGGAUCUAAUGUGUGAUUUGCUUUGCUUAAAGUAAGUACUAAAGUAGGUUCAAAUGAGCAAUAUGGGUUCUUGAAGAGGGGACCCCUAAUGCGGCUUCUUUGCUCACUCCC
rnacentral:misc_RNA from 1 species